AGCGAACGCUGGCGGCAGGCUUAACACAUGCAAGUCGAGCGGGCCCUUCGGGGUCAGCGGCGGACGGGUGAGUAACGCGUGGGAACGUGCCUUCUGGUCUGGAAUAACCCUGGGAAACUAGGGCUAAUACCGGAUACGCCCUUUUGGGGAAAGGUUUACUGCCGGAAGAUCGGCCCGCGUCUGAUUAGCUAGUUGGUGGGGUAACGGCCUACCAAGGCGACGAUCAGUAGCUGGUCUGAGAGGAUGAUCAGCCACACUGGGACUGGGACACGGCCCAGACUCCUACGGGAGGCAGCAGUGGGGAAUAUUGGACAAUGGGCGCAAGCCUGAUCCAGCCAUGCCGCGUGAGUGAUGAAGGCCUUAGGGUUGUAAAGCUCUUUUAUCCGGGACGAUAAUGACGGUACCGGAGGAAUAAGCCCCGGCUAACUUCGUG
rnacentral:rRNA from 1 species